rnacentral:rRNA from 1 species
CCUACGGGAGGCAGCAGUAGGGAAUAUUGCUCAAUGGGGGAAACCCUGAAGCAGCAACGCCGCGUGGAGGAUGAAGGUUCUCGGAUUGUAAACCCCUUUUUUUAGAGAAGAUAAUGACGGUAUCUAACGAAUAAGCACCGGCUAACUCCGUGCCAGUAGCCGCGGUGAUACGGAGGGUGCAGGCGUUACUCGGAAUCACCGGGCGUAAAGAGGGCGUAGGCGGGAUAGCAAGUCAGAUGUGAAAUCCUAUGGCUUAACCAUAGAACUGCAUUUGAAACUGUUAUUCUAGAGUAUGGGAGAGGUAGGUGGAAUUCUUGGUGUAGGGGUAAAAUCCGUAGAGAUCAAGAAGAAUACUCAUUGCGAAGGCGACCUGCUAGAACAUAACUGACGCUGAUGCGCGAAAGCGUGGGGAGCAAACAGGAUUAGAUACCCCUGUAGUC